CCUACGGGCGGCAGCAGUGGGGAAUAUUGCACAAUGGGGGAAACCCUGAUGCAGCGACGCCGCGUGAGUGAAGAAGUAAUUCGUUAUGUAAAGCUCUAUCAGCAGGGAAGCAAAUGACGGUACCUGAGUAAGAAGCCCCGGCUAACUACGUGCCAGCAGCCGCGGGAAUACGUAGGGGGCAAGCGCUAUCCGGAUUUACUGGGAGGAAAGGGAGCGUAGACGGCAGUGCAAGGCUGGAGGGAAAGGCGGGGGCUCAACCCCCGGACUGCUCUGGAAACUGUACGGCUGGAGGGCAGGAGAGGUGAGUGGAAUUACUAGGGUAGCGGUGAAAUGCGUAGAUAUUAGGAGGAACACCAGUGGCGGAGGCGGCUUACUGGACUGUAACUGACGUUGAGGCUCGAAAGCGUGGGGAGCAAACAGGAUUAGAUACCCCAGUAGUC
rnacentral:rRNA from 1 species